UACGUAGGGUGCGAGCGUUAAUCGGAAUUACUGGGCGUAAAGCGUGCGCAGGCGGUUUCGUAGGCCAGAUGUGAAAUCCCCGGGCUUAACCUGGGAAUGGCAUUUGGGACUGCAAGGCUGGAGUGCGGCAGAGGAGACUGGAAUUCCUGGUGUAGCAGUGAAAUGCGUAGAUAUCAGGAGGAAUACCGAUGGCGAAGGCAGGUCUCUGGGCUGACACUGACGCUCAUGCACGAAAGCGUGGGGAGCAAACAGG
rnacentral:rRNA from 1 species